rnacentral:rRNA from 1 species
UCAGGACGAACGCUGGCGGCGUGCUUAACAUAUGUAAGAUUAAUGGGAAGAGAUGAAGAGCUUGCUCUUUAUCGUAUCCUGUGGCAAACGGGUGAGUAACACGUAAACAACCUGCCUUCAGGAUGGGGACAACAGACGGAAACGACUGCUAAUACCGAAUACGUUCCACGGGCCGCAUGACCUGUGGAAGAAAGGGUAGCCUCUACCUGUAAGCUAUCGCCUGAAUAGGGGUUUGCGUCUGAUUAUGCAGUUGGUGGGGUAACGGCUCACCAAACCAAUUAUCAUUAGCCGGUUUGAGAGGAUUAACGGCCACACUGGAACUGAGACACGGUCCAGACUCCUACGGGAGGCAACAGUGGGGAUUCUUCCUUAUUGGACGAA